UACGUAGGUGGCAAGCGUUGUCCGGAUUUAUUGGGCGUAAAGGGAGCGCAGGCGGUGACUUAAGUCUGAUGUGAAAGCCCAGGGCUCAACCGUGGAAGGUCAUUGGAAACUGGGUCACUUGAAUAUAGAAGAGGAAAGUGGAAUUCCAUGUGUAGCGGUGAAAUGCGUAGAUAUAUGGAGGAACACCAGUGGCGAAGGCGACUUUCUGGUCUAUUAUUGACGCUGAGGCUCGAAAGCAUGGGUAGCAAACAGGAUUAGAUA
rnacentral:rRNA from 1 species